rnacentral:lncRNA from 1 species
CAGAAUCUCACGGGUGGGAUGCUGGAAUCCUCUUAGGAACCACAGGUCUUGCCAGUGUACAAGAGGGACCAUCUUGAAAGUUUUCAGACUUCCUUUCAAGGAUAAGAGAAAGAGGUCAGCUCUAUAUUUUAACUCAAUCAGUCUACUCAUCGGUGCGUAUAAAGAGAUGAUAUCAUCAUCAUCUUCUUCAUCAUUACUACGACUAUCAUGAUCAUCAUCAUCACCACCAUCAUCAGAGCUCCCAUUUAGAGAAUACCCGAUGAUACCCCAGAUCCUAUGCCAGGUACACUAGACUUUUUACAUAUUCUAAUCUUCACAGCACCUCUUCAGAUGAAAGAUGAACAGAAAAUUUAGAAGAUGACCAAUGGACAAAUGGCAACUGAUACACAGCAGAGUAAAUGAAAACUUACAUGUGGGAUAUUGGAGGCUUCUUUUCCAGGGAAAGUUAACAGCUGAGGAAAAAAUAACUAUCCAUAAAGUCUUAGCACAUUCCUGCCUACCAACAAGCCCGACACAGUAACGACUUGCAGAUGCCUCCGUCUUAAAUGUGAAUGAAAUUGAAAGCCAAGAAUGACAAGACAUUUGAGGAAAUAUUACACCCAUGAAAUAAGAACAAAAUGCUAUAUUUUAAAGAGUAUUAAGAGAGCAAGAAGUCAUGUUUGGAAAUGAAAUAUAUGACAGGAGAAUUAAAAUUUCAAAAGAAGGUUUAGAAAAUAUAAUUGAGAAGAAGAAAUGGAGAAGGUAGAACACAAAGACAGAUGAGGAAAAUAGGAGAGAAAAGAUAAGAAAAGUAGAAAGUCGAUCCAACUGGUUGGCACUCAUAAAAGAGGACAAAGACGGAGGGAUGUGGUAGACUGAACAAUGGCUCACAAAGAUAUCUAGGUCCUAAUUCCUGGAACCCUUGAAUGUUACCUUACAUGCGAGCAGGGACUUUGCAAGAGUGAUUAAGAAUAUUGAAAUAGAGAGGUUAUCCGGAUUAUACAGGUGGGUCGUAAAAGCGAUCACAGAUGCGUGUAUAACAGGGAGGCAAAGAGAGAUUAGACACAGAAGUGGAGCAGGCAGUGUGACCACAGAGGCAGAGAAUGGAAUUCUGUGGCCACAAGCCGGGGAAUGCUUCAUCCCCUUUGGGUUGGGGAUGCAUGGGAGGAUUUUUGUUUUUUCUUUGGGGAACUUUGUUGGGUUGUUUGUUUUGUUUGCAUUUUUUUUAACGCUGUCGGUG